GACGAACCGUGCGAACGUUGUUCGGAAUCACUGGGCUUAAAGGGCGCGUAGGCGGUCAGCACAAGUCAGUUGUGAAAUCUCCGGGCUUAACUCGGAAAGGUCAACUGAUACUGUGCGACUAGAGUGCAGAAGGGGCAACUGGAAUUCUCGGUGUAGCGGUGAAAUGCGUAGAUAUCUGCAGGAACACCCGUGCGAAAGCGGCGCGCUGGACCACUACUGACGCUGAGGAACGAAAGCUAGGGAGCAACA
rnacentral:rRNA from 1 species